UAUAUUCGCAUUCUUUCUACAUGCUGCAAAACGUGACAGUCGUAAUAAAUCCAAAGUACACCUCUGUUUGUGUUUGGAGAGCACAUAUUGUUUGUUUUUCAAUAGCAUACCGUAUUUCAUGUGCUCAGUCUACCCAAAAAUACAAGGUGAUUUAUGGUCUGUGAUUUGUCAUGUGGAGCACAUUCGUUGUUUUUAUUGUGGUAGGUGGUUGCAUUUUAUAGAGCAAGAUAGUACGAAUACUGAACAGAACUGUUGUUGGUCUUCGGUUUACUGUGUUUCGUUUUGUUUGUUUUAUACAAUGGACGGAGAAUUUAAAAACGAUUCAGAAAAUAUAAUUCCUUCAUCUGAAGAAGGUGCAGAACUGACAGGAUGUGCUGCCAAGCCUUGCUGCAACCCAAGUCUUGCGAUGCAUCGGUGUAUGGCCCUGUUAUUUAUAUGCCUGCCAGGGUUUGGUGAAUACGUGUGAGACAAGUAAUCAAAUCUUUCUCCACUCAGUUCAAAUUAUG